AGCCGAUGAUGAUUUUAUUUUUUCUGACACCUCUUAUGAACGCUGUAUGCUAGCGGGUGAUUCUACUAUUUUAUAAUUUCUGAGGCUC